GAUGAAGAACGCAGCGAAAUGCGAUACUUGGUGUGAAUUGCAGAAUCCCGUGAACCAUCGAGUCUUUGAACGCAAGUUGCGCCCGAAGCCAUUAGGCCGAGGGCACGCCUGCCUGGGCGUCACACGUCGUUGCCCCCCCAUCUACUCCUUCGGGAUUGCGGGGGGCGGAUGAUGGCCUCUCGUGCGCCUCGUCGCGCGGUUGGCCUAAAUGCCAAGUCCUCGGCGACGCACGCCACGACAAUCGGUGGUUGCGAAACCUCGGUUGCCUGUCGUGUGCGGUCGUCGCGCAUCGAGGGCUCGAAAAAAUUGCCGGGCUCCGGCUCGACUUUCAACGCGACCCCAGGUCAGGCGGGGUUACCCGCUGAAUUUAAGCAUAUCAAUAAGCGGAGGA
rnacentral:misc_RNA from 1 species